AACGAACGUUGGCGGCGUGGAUGAGGCAUGCAAGUCGAACGCGAAAGCCGCAAGGCGAGUAAAGUGGCGGACGGGCGAGUAACACGUAAUCAAGCUACCUGCGAGACGGGGAUAACUUCGGGAAACCGAAGCUAAGACCCGAUGGUCUUCUAGGAACGCAUGUUCCAUGAAGUAAAUGGGCGGGAUCCUCCGGGAUCGCCUGCUCGCAGAGGUGAUUGCGGCCCAUCAGCUAGUUGGUAGGGUAAUGGCCUACCAAGGCAACGACGGGUAGCCGGCCUUAGAGGGUGGUCGGCCGCACUGGGACUGAGACACUGCCCAGACUCCUACGGGAGGCUGCAGUCGAGAAUAUUCCCCAAUGGCCGAAAGGCUGAGGGAGCGACGCCGCGUGCAGGAAUAA
rnacentral:rRNA from 1 species